AGUGAACGCUGGCGGCGUGCUGAACACAUGCAAGUCGAACGAGAACGGAAUAUAGCUUGCUAUAUUUGUCAGCUAAGUGGCGCACGGGUGAGUAAGGUAUAGCUAACGUGCCCUUAAGAAAGGAAUAACAGUCGGAAACGACUGCUAAUGCACUAUAUGCCUUUAAUACAUAAGUAUGAAAGGGAAACGCUUUAGUGCUUAAGGAUGGGUCUGUAUGGUAUCAAAUUGUUGGUGAGGUAACGGCUCACCAAGGCUAUGACGCCUAACUGGUUUGAGAGGAUGAUCAGUCACACUGUAACUGAGACACGGUCCAGACUCCUACGGGAGGCAGCAGUGGGGAAUAUUGCACAAUGGACGAAAGUCUGAUGCAGCAACGCCGCGUGGAGGCUGACACAUUUCGGUGCGUAAACUCCUUGUAUAUAGGAAGUUAAUGACGGUACUAUAUGAAUAAGCACCGUCUAACUCCGUGCCAGCAGCCGCCGUAACAC
rnacentral:rRNA from 1 species